rnacentral:rRNA from 1 species
AACGUAGGAGCCAAGCGUUAUCCGAAUUCACUGGGCGUAAAGCGCGUGCAGGCGGCGCGGCAAGUUGGAUGUGAAAGCUCCUGGCUCAACUGGGAGAGGACGUUCAAUACUGUCGGGCUAGAGGGCGGCAGAGGGAGGUGGAAUUCCCGGUGUAGUGGUGAAAUGCGUAGAUAUCGGGAGGAACACCAGUGGCGAAAGCGGCCUCCUGGGCCGCACCUGACGCUCAGACGCGAAAGCUAGGGGAGCGAACGGG